rnacentral:lncRNA from 1 species
UUUCUGAAAUCUAUUUAUUGCAUCUCCUCAUUGUGGGGCAGUGAUGAGUGAAAGGAGAGGCCAGCAGUGGACUGCAACAAUGUCAUUAGUCCUAAUGGGUGAACUUCAGUGAGUCCAUCAAAUAACAAGGGUUGUUAGUCCAUAACUAACAAGGGUCCAUCAGCUAACAGUUUCCUCAGCUAUAAAAUGGGGAGAGGUUGUGUUAUGUGCUU